rnacentral:rRNA from 1 species
UGCCAGCAGCCGCGGUAAUACGGAGGGGGUUAGCGUUGUUCGGAAUUACUGGGCGUAAAGCGCACGUAGGCGGAUUAGAAAGUUGGGGGUGAAAUCCCAGGGCUCAACCCUGGAACUGCCUCCAAAACUACUAGACUAGAGGUUGGAAGAGGAGAGUGGAAUUCCCAGUGUAGAGGUGAAGUUCGUAGAUAUUGGGAAGAACACCAGUGGCGAAGGCGGCUCACUGGCUCGAUACUGACGCUGAGGUGCGAAAGUGUGGGGAGCAAACAGGAUUAGAUA